GAAAACAGACAGCUGAGGUGUUUCUUUCUCCUGAUUAACUGACAGUCGUUUCAGCAAAACCUGCACUAACAGUUGCAGAGGAUGAAAAUGAGUCGUGUUUUACAAGGUUAGCCGACUAGCCUGUAUAAAUGAGCCUGCUGAGAUUUAAAUGAGAGAUUUUGAAUGAGGCUUUGUGCUGUGAUUGCAGAUAUCGGUAUGCUGGCGGUGGGCCCUGCGUGAUUAUGAGCUGCUAUGAAUAUACGAUAAGAGGACCGAUGACAGGAGGCCUUUGCUGAAAUAUGAAACUGAUGUUUCUGAUUCGUCAACGUUCGACAGGUCCUUGCAGGCUACGGGCUGUAAAACACUCACAUACACACCUUUGUUCACCACAUCAGAGCCACCUAAAUAAGUGUAUGUUACUUAAGGCCUUUGGUAUGUGUUCAGUAGGCUGUUGAAUUAAUUUUUGGUUAUACAUGACAACGUUAGUGGUGUUCUUUGUGAAAUGAUUGAAUUCUUUUGUGUUGUUCUGCUAGAAAGGACCCUUAUUUGUUGGCUGGAGCUUACUUUCAAGCUGCUUGAAUAUUUUGGAUUGUCAAAAAUGGUGUAUGUUGAGCCCUGUUCACUUGCAUUAUGUGACAAAAAUCUCUGUAACCUUAAUAAUAUAACUUUUUUCAUUUAAUUAAACAUGUUCCACAAGUUUUCAUACA
rnacentral:lncRNA from 1 species